GUGUCCGGAGAGGCCAACGCUUUCAUUAGCCAGCAGGAAUGGGCUGGGGCGCGUUUGUAGUUGGGAAUCCUGAGCCCGGGCUGUUGCUUGGAGGACUCGGGAGCAGCAGUGGAUUUCGGCGUUACCAGGAGAGCUAUGUAUAGGAAUGCCGCUAUGGAAAGACAUCCAGGACACCUUGUUAAGUGAAAAAAGGUUCAGUAUCUGAACACUUUUGCUAAAGGUCUCUGGAAAGCUCCCUGUGUUAAUUCUCGAUGAGACUACGUCUGUGCCGGCCGCUUCCUGAGCCUCCUUCCAUGUGCAUAGGCCUGCUGCAUGCUGGAGACCUGCGGCACAGCUGCCAAGUGCCCCGUGUGGUUCUGUGAUCUUGGGACAGUCACUUCCUCUCUGUGGUUGUCAGUCUUCUCAUCCCUAAGAUGGAAUAAAAAGGCCUACCUCAUUGGGCUCGUGUGGGUGAGGAGAACUGAAGAGUCUGAGAGCGCGGCACGAGCCAGAGGCUACGGAAAACACUGCCCUCCUACACUCCACCUUGGAGAGACCCAGAAAAGAACAAGCUUCAUUUGUAAAAAAGGAAAACAACUCAGGCAAUGGGGGUGGCUUAAAGGCACUCUACAGUGUGCAGAUGCCUUCCACUUCUUCCAUCUGCCCUGUCUCUCCAAGAACCCCUAUGGCCCCGGUCUCAGAACAGAGCUGAGUGCAGAAAUGAAAAUCUAUGGCUCUGUGUUCCAAAACGAUGAAGAAUUUCAAGAUGGUGGCAGUGGUAAAAUCUUUCUCCAGGAAAAAUCUGUCCUUGGCCCAAUGUGUAAACACUUGCUGAGGAACUUGGAAUAACUUGCAGUGUCUUGCAGUAUUGUGAAACCAG
rnacentral:lncRNA from 1 species